GGUGCUAUAGUGUAGUGGUUAUCACUCGGGAUUUUGAAGUUUUCUUACUUUUCCGAAACCCAGGUUCGAACCCUGGUAGCACCU